AAAGGGAUUCGUCCCCAGUAAAGUGGCGCACGGGUGCGUAACACGUAGGUAAUCUACCCUCGAGCGGGGGAUAACGAGCCGAAAGGUUCGCUAAUACCGCAUAAGCCCACGACCUUUUCGAAGGACGAGGGAAAAGCUGGCCUCUGCAUGCACGCUAGCACUCGAGAAUGAGCCUGCGGCCCAUCAGCUAGUUGGUAAGGUAAUGGCUUACCAAGGCUAAGACGGGUAGCUGGUCUGAGAGGAUGAUCAGCCACACUGGCACUGAAACACGGGCCAGACUCCUACGGGAGGCAGCAGUGGGGAAUAUUGGUCAAUGGGCGCAAGCCUGAACCAGCGACGCCGCGUGAGUGAUGAAGGCCUUCGGGUUGUAAAGCUCUGUGGGGAGGGAAGAAAACAGUCCGCGCGAAUAGCUCGGGCUCUUGACGGUACCUCCUUAGCAAGCACCGGCUAACUCUGUGCCAGCAGCCGCGGUAAGACAGAGGGUGCAAACGUUGCUCGGAAUUACUGGGCGUAAAGCGCGUGUAGGCUGACCAGCAAGUCAGAUGUGAAAGCCCUGGGCUCAACCUAGGAACUGCAUUUGAAACUGCUGGUCUUGAGUAGUGGAGAGGAUCGUGGAAUUCCUGGUGUAGAGGUGAAAUUCGUAGAUAUCAGGAGGAACACCGGUGGCGAAGGCGGCGAUCUGGACACUUACUGACGCUGAGACGCGAAAGCGUGGGGAGCAAACAGGAUUAGAUACCCUGGUAGUCCACGCUGUAAACGAUGGGUGCUAGGUGUCGUGGGUUUUGACCCCCGCGGUGCCGUAGCUAACGCGUUAA
rnacentral:rRNA from 1 species